rnacentral:rRNA from 1 species
GGGAUUAUUCAGUCGGGAGGUCGCGAACGCAGAGUGUGGAAUGACCAGAAUGGUUCUCCGGACGGAGCCGUCCACGCCUUGCGCUUUUCGUGCCACCCGACGCAUUUGUUUCCCGUCCAGAGGACGCCGCAACCGGUUGGAGAACGGCCUUAAGGGCAGACGAUGGCAGGUGGCCGGUGAUUUCUCCCUCGGGAAGAGUCUGCCGGUUGUUAGCCGGUUUCUGUCGCACGGCUCGUGAUCCGACCGUGGUGUCGCGAGACCCCUAGCGGGUCUCUUCGCCUCCUCCUUUCGCGGGAAGCCGGGAAUUGGCGGCACGGUCCCUCCCCCCUGCGGGCGCACUGACUGACUCAGUGGCCCAGCUAUCGGGAGGUCCGGUUGGUAGCCUUUUACCCGUUGGAGUGUCGGCGGUUAGCGGCGAGUAGAUCGGUCACCCACCCGACCCGUCUUGAAACACGGACCAAGGAGUCUAACAUGUGUGCGAGUCAAUGGGUCUCGAAUAAGCCCAGAGGCGCAAUGAAAGCAAAGGCCGGACUUGACUUCGGCUGUGUUGGGAUCCUCCUCUUGUAAAAUGGGGGAGGCGCACCAACGACCCGUCCCAUCCGAUUUAUCGGUGGGGCGGAGUCUGAGCAUACACGUUGGUACCCGAAAGAUGGUGAGCUAUGCCCGGGCAGGACGAAGCCAGAGG